CGAAGAACCUUACCUACUCUCGACAUCCAGAGAACUUUCCUAGAGAUGGAUUGGUGCCUUCGGGAACUCUGAGACAGGUGCUGCAUGGCUGUCGUCAGCUCGUGUUGUGAAAUGUUGGGUUAAGUCCCGCAACGAGCGCAACCCUUAUCCUUUGUUGCCAGCGGUUCGGCCGGGAACUCAAAGGAGACUGCCAGUGAUAAACUGGAGGAAGGUGGGGAUGACGUCAAGUCAUCAUGGCCCUUACGAGUAGGGCUACACACGUGCUACAAUGGCAUAUACAAAGAGAAGCGACCUCGCGAGAGCAAACGGACCUCAUAAAGUAUGUCGUAGUCCGGAUCGGAGUCUGCAACUCGACUCCAUGAAGUCGGAAUCGCUAGUAAUCGUAGAUCAGAAUGCUACGGUGAAUACGUUCCCGGGCCUU
rnacentral:rRNA from 1 species